rnacentral:misc_RNA from 1 species
GAUGAAGAACGCAGCGAAAUGCGAUAAGUAGUGUGAAUUGCAGAAUUCAGUGAAUCAUCGAAUCUUUGAACGCACAUUGCGCCCCCUGGUAUUCCGGGGGGCAUGCCUGUCCGAGCGUCAUUGCUGCCCUCAAGCACGGCUUGUGUGUUGGGCCUCCGUCCUCCUCCCGGGGGACGGGCCCGAAAGGCAGCGGCGGCACCGCGUCCGGUCCUCGAGCGUAUGGGGCUUCGUCACCCGCUCUUGUAGGCCCGGCCGGCGCUUGCCGACACAUCAAUCUUUUUUCCAGGUUGACCUCGGAUCAGGAAGGGAUACCCGCUGAACUUAAGCAUAUCAAUAAGCGGAGGA